UACGUAGGUGGCAAGGCGUUGUCCGGAUUUAUUGGGUUUAAAGGGUGCGUAGGCGGUGUCCUAAGUCAGUUGUGAAAUAACGGCAGCUUAACUGUCGAGGUGCAAUUGAUACUGGGAUACUUGAGUACUGAUGAGGUAUGCGGAAUGGACGGUGUAGCGGUGAAAUGCUUAGAUAAUCGUCCAGAACACCGAUAGCUGAAGGCAGCAUACUAAGGAGUAACUGACGCUGAGGCACGAAAGUGUGGGGAUCAAACAGG
rnacentral:rRNA from 1 species